rnacentral:rRNA from 1 species
CGAACGCUGGCAGCGUGGAUUAGGCAUGCAAGUCGAACGAGAACAUGCAGGUUCAAGCCUUCGGGCAAGAACCUGUGUGGGAGAGUGGCGAACGGGUGAGUAACACGUGGGUAAUCUACCAUCGAGUUGGGGAUAACUCGCCGAAAGGCGGGCUAAUACCGAAUGUGGUCGUGUCACGCAUGUGACACUGUCUAAAGGCGGGGAACCUUAGGGUCCUGUCGCUUGAUGAUGAGCCUGCGGUCUAUCAGCUUGUUGGUGAGGUAAUGGCUCACCAAGGCAUACGGGUAGCUGGUCUGAGAGGAUGGUCAGCCACACUGGGACUGAGACACUGCCCAGACUCCUACGGGAGGCUGCAGUCGAGAAUCAUUCACAAUGCGCGAAAGCGUGAUGAUGCGACGCUGCGUGGAGGAUGAAGGCCUUCGGGCCGUAAACUCCUGUCAUUCGGGAACAAUCCCGACAGCACUAAUACUGCUGCCGGGUGAUGGUACCGAAAGAGGAAGUCACGGCUAACUCUGUGCCAGCAGCCGCGGUGAUACAGAGGUGGCUAGCGUUGUUCGGAUUCACUGGGCUUAAAGGAUGCGUAGGCGGUAGUGCAUGUCAGAUGUGAAAUCUCACUGCUCAACGGUGAGCGUGCGUUUGAAACUGCAUUACUAGAGUGCGGGGCACGAGAGCGGAAUUCUUGGUGUAGCGGUGCAAUGCGUAGAUAUCACGAACAACACCGAUGGCGAACGCAGCUCUCUAUCCCGCUACUGACGCUGAGGCAUGAAACCUGGGGGAGCGAACAGGAUUAGAUACCCUGGUAGUCCCAGCCGUAAACGGUGUACACUAGGUGUGGGAGGAAUUGACCCCUCUCGCGGCCGCAGCUAACGCGUUAAGUGUACCGCCUGGGGAGUACGACCGCAAGGCUAAAACUCAAAGAAAUUGACGGGGGCCCGCACAAGCGGAGGAGCAUGUGGCUUAAUUCGAUGCAACGCGAAGAACCUUACCAGGGCUUGACAUGCCCGUCGUAUCCUUCUGAAAGGAAGGAGUCAGUUCGGCUGGACGGUGCACAGGUGCUGCAUGGCUGUCGUCAGUUCGUGCCGUGAGGUGUUGGGUUAAGUCCCGCAACGGACGCAACCCCUAUGUUUAGUUGCCCCCAUCGGUGAUGAGCCGGUGAGCACUCUAGACAGACUGCCCAUGUUAAGUGGGAGGAAGCUGGGGAUGACGUCAAGUCAGUAUGGCCCUUAUGCCCUGGGCUGCACACGUGCUACAAUGGUCGGUACAACGGGAAGCAAUACCGCGAGGUGGAGCAAAUCCCUGUAAACCGCCCUCAGUACGGAUUGGGGUCUGCAAUUCGACCUCAUGAAGUGGGAUUCGCUAGUAAUGGCGCAUCAGCAACGGCGCCGCUGCAUACGUUCCCGGGCCUUGUACACACAGCCCGUCACGUCAUGAGAGCCAUUUGCACCAGAAGUC